rnacentral:rRNA from 1 species
GAUGAACGCUGGCGGCGUGCCUAAUACAUGCAAGUCGAGCGAACGGACGAGAAGCUUGCUUCUCUGAUGUUAGCGGCGGACGGGCGAGUAACACGUGGAUAACCUACCUAUAAGACUGGGAUAACUUCGGGAAACCGGAGCUAAUACCGGAUAAUAUUUUGAACCGCAUGGUUCAAAAGUGAAAGACGGUCUUGCUGUCACUUAUAGAUGGAUCCGCGCUGCAUUAGCUAGUUGGUAAGGUAACGGCUUACCAAGGCAACGAUGCAUAGCCGACCUGAGAGGGUGAUCGGCCACACUGGAACUGAGACACGGUCCAGACUCCUACGGGAGGCAGCAGUAGGGAAUCUUCCGCAAUGGGCGAAAGCCUGACGGAGCAACGCCGCGUGAGUGAUGAAGGUCUUCGGAUCGUAAAACUCUGUUAUUAGGGAAGAACAUAUGUGUAAGUAACUGUGCACAUCUUGACGGUACCUAAUCAGAAAGCCACGGCUAACUACGUGCCAGCAGCCGCGGUAAUACGUAGGUGGCAAGCGUUAUCCGGAAUUAUUGGGCGUAAAGCGCGCGUAGGCGGUUUUUUAAGUCUGAUGUGAAAGCCCACGGCUCAACCGUGGAGGGUCAUUGGAAACUGGAAAACUUGAGUGCAGAAGAGGAAAGUGGAAUUCCAUGUGUAGCGGUGAAAUGCGCAGAGAUAUGGAGGAACACCAGUGGCGAAGGCGACUUUCUGGUCUGUAACUGACGCUGAUGUGCGAAAGCGUGGGGAUCAAACAGGAUUAGAUACCCUGGUAGUCCACGCCGUAAACGAUGAGUGCUAAGUGUUAGGGGGUUUCCGCCCCUUAGUGCUGCAGCUAACGCAUUAAGCACUCCGCCUGGGGAGUACGACCGCAAGGUUGAAACUCAAAGGAAUUGACGGGGACCCGCACAAGCGGUGGAGCAUGUGGUUUAAUUCGAAGCAACGCGAAGAACCUUACCAAAUCUUGACAUCCUUUGACAACUCUAGAGAUAGAGCCUUCCCCUUCGGGGGACAAAGUGACAGGUGGUGCAUGGUUGUCGUCAGCUCGUGUCGUGAGAUGUUGGGUUAAGUCCCGCAACGAGCGCAACCCUUAAGCUUAGUUGCCAUCAUUAAGUUGGGCACUCUAAGUUGACUGCCGGUGACAAACCGGAGGAAGGUGGGGAUGACGUCAAAUCAUCAUGCCCCUUAUGAUUUGGGCUACACACGUGCUACAAUGGACAAUACAAAGGGCAGCGAAACCGCGAGGUCAAGCAAAUCCCAUAAAGUUGUUCUCAGUUCGGAUUGUAGUCUGCAACUCGACUACAUGAAGCUGGAAUCGCUAGUAAUCGUAGAUCAGCAUGCUACGGUGAAUACGUUCCCGGGGCU